rnacentral:lncRNA from 1 species
AGGCAAAGUUUUUAUUACAAUAUUAUGAUUAUCUUUAACAGAAGGGAGUGAAGAUGCCACUCCUUGGGAAGAAUUGCUAUGUUCUGAGAAAAACAAAAUUUAAACUUCCAACUACUGAAGGUCUGAGCUCCACUGCCAGUAUUGCCACCUUGGGAAAAUUACCAGUUCUUUCACCAGUAAAACAGAAUAAUAUCUAUUAUCAGGCUGUAGGGUUUGAAUGAGAUGUAAACAAUCUAUGAUAUACCAGAGGCAUCUCAUACAUUUUAAUUUCCCUCUUUUCCUCCUAAAAAUGAAUAUCAGAAGGAGCCAUUUGUUAGGGCUCUGCCUGUACUGAUAAAGGUAAUUCCAAGCUUUUCCCUCUCAAAUAUAUAAGAUCCUCUCUCUUAUAGGGGAAAAAAAAAUCAUAAUAUGCUAUUGAAAAUCCAGUCACAAAAUGUAAUUCUAGGAAAACUGCCUGUGAAUUUUUACCCUGUGAAAUGAGUGGGAAGGAAGGGCCACACAUCCUGCCCUGUCUACUUCUGGUUUGGCUUCGGCAGCUUUUUAAGUGGGGAACAAUCCAGAAUUCCAGCUCUGUCAGGAAAAAGCGAACAAAUGAAACAGAUGACAAAUCAUUUCUCUAAGACCUGAAGCCAAACUGGCUCCACUAGCUGCUGGAAUGGUAGUAGAAGCCAAUUUCCUGGAGUAUUUACAAAAUCAUUUGUAAGGAUAAUACUUUCCAGAUGUUUACAGGGAGGGCUAAGGGUGGCUUUUUAAUCUGCAGACUCCUCAGUCUUAGCAUAUAUUCAACAGGCAGUUGUGAGAACGCCACCUCCCACCCUAACUCCUCCCCUCAACUCCCUUAUAUGUAAAGGCCCAAUUUAGGCAGGAGAUGGGGAAUGAGCUGUGGCCUUUGCCCUUCCAGCGGAUACCAGAAUCUACAGAAGCAGCAGGUGAGUACAUGGCCACGCAAAAAUGGAACAUGCUUUACGGGAGGUGUUAGCAAUGUGCUUCAGAAAGACAGAUGAAAGAUCAGCAAAACCUUCAAAGAGGAGGUGACUGAAUAUUUCAGGAUACAUGCAGAAGUGGCGCAGGGGAGGAAAAGAAAACAUUCUAAAUCAAGAGAGGGAGGCAUACCUGGAAAAUGGAUCUGCGGCCUGAUCUGGAUAGGAUUGGAGUGUGUCAACUAGAAACGUUUUUAGCUGAAAGUAACAGGAUCCUUGACUAAUAGAGCCACAAGCGAUCAAGGUUUGUUUGCUCAAAAUGCUCAGAGGAAUAUGGUUACUGGCAGUGAUUCAGUGGCUCAAGAACAUCAUCUGGGAGACAGGUUCCUUCCAUUUUUCUGCUCUGAUUUCUUUAACAUGGUGGGUGUUCAUCUUUGUACUUUUCACCUCACGUGUGCAAGAUCGUUGCCAUAGAUCCAGAUCCCAUUAACUAACUUUCCAU